rnacentral:tRNA from 1 species
GAGCCAUAGCUCAGUGGCAGAACAUCUGCUUUGAAUGCAGAAAAUCCUGCGUUCAAUCCUUGGCAUCUUCA